GAGAAUUACUGCCCAGAGAUGAUACUCACCUAUAGUGCUAAGUACUAUGACGGAACCACCACUUACGGCGGCUACUCUAACAUCAUGGUGGCCGAUGAGCACUUCAUCGUUCGUAUUCCAGAUACCUUACCUCUUGAUGCUACUGCUCCUCUCCUUUGUGCUGGGAUCACAGUGUAUAGCCCCUUGAAACAUUAUGGACUCGACAAGCCUGGCAUGCACGUAGGCGUAGUUGGCCUGGGCGGACUUGGCCAUAUGGCAGUGAAAUUUGCUAAGGCUAUGGGAGUGAAGGUUACUGUGAUUAGCACCUCACCUAGCAAGAAGCAGGAGGCUGUUGAGCAUCUUGGUGCUGAUUCAUUUUUGGUUAGCCGUGACCAAGAUCAAAUGAAGGUAUCUAUAAUUUGGAACUUUCUUGGAUAACCCAUGAAUCAGGAAAUUUAUAUUAAUUUAUAAUCUUGUUAAAUCUUAUUGAUACAGGCUGCGAUGGGUACAAUGGAUGGUAUAAUUGAUACAGUGUCUGCAAUGCACCCUCUUAUGCCUUUGAUUGGGCUACUGAAAACUAAUGGAAAGUUGGUUUUGGUUGGUGCUCCAGAGAAGCCACUUGAGCUACCAGCCUUUCCUUUGUUGAUGGGUAAUUUUCUGUUUCUUUCUUCUUCAUAUUCAUAAUUCAAAUGAAAAUAAAAACCCUUAACAAUUUCAGCUAAUUACAGGAAGAAAGAUGGUGGGAGGCAGUGCAAUUGGGGGAAUGAAAGAGACACAAGAAAUGAUUGAUUUUGCGGCCAAACACAAUAUAACAGCAGAUAUAGAAGUUAUUCCAAUGAAGUAUGUGAACACAGCCAUGGAACGCAUAUUGAAAGCUGAUGUUAGAUAUCGAUUUGUCAUUGAUAUUGGCAACACAAUCAGCUCUGCCCACUGAAUUUAAUAUAUUUAUAUAUCUGUAUUUUCAAUUUUCAAAGUAAUUGCUGAGUUUGAGGAUUUGUACUCUAUAAUCUCAUAAUCAUGUAUUAUGAGGAGUAACUAAUCUUAAAUAAAUUGGAUUUGAGUGAAUGUCAUUUUUUUUAUUUUAAUUUUAAAAAUAAAUGCGGGAAAUGGGAAAGAUGUUAUUAAAUAAAUGAAUUAUAAAGUGUUUACGGCUCAAUGAAUCAUUUAUUUUAAAUUUUUUUUUAUCAGUCAUUUAUUUCUUACUGUAUAAACUACAUUAAUAAUUUAAUAAUAAAAUAAAUUAAAUUCAAACAUUUGAAAAUACGAAAUAAAUAGAUAAUAGAUGUAUUAAAAUGAAAUAAAAAAUUAUUAAAAAAUUAUUAUAUGAAUUAAUAGUAAAAAAAAGUCUAUAUUUUUUAUUUCAUUGUAAUUAUAUUCUGUAAUUCUUUUUUUCAAUCAAAAUCUAACAUUUUAAAAUUAUUUUAAUUGUAUAUGCUAUUUUAAAAAAUUAAUGGAACCGUCACAUCAACACCAUGUAAUCAAAUUAAUCAUAAAAAAUUUUAUAUUUUAUAUUUAUUAUAAUUUCACCCUAUAAUUAUUUUUUAUCAAUUAAAUUUUAUUUUUUUAAUAUCUGACCAAAUAUAUCCUACCGUUAUUUAUACAGUUGAAAACUUAUAAAAUUAUCAUGUUACUUUUUUUCAUUGUUAAAUAUAUUUAAAAAUUGCUAUUAUUAUUAUUUAAUUUUAUUUUAAUUUUUAUUAAUAAUUUUAUAAUAAUAAUAAUUUAUCUUCAUUUUAUUUUUACUAAAAUCAUUAUCAAUCAAUUUUUUUAAUCUAUUUAAUAUGCUUACUGUUUAGCAUUACUUUUAAAACUAUUAUUAAGAAAAUAAUUUUAUUAAAUAUAUUAAUUAUGAAAUACCAAAAAAUAAUUUAAAAUAAUAUUUAAUAUAAUUCGGUUUUAAAAUAUUAAAAAUAAUAAAAUAAUUUUUUAAGAUUUUUUUAAUUGUUCUUUUAACUCUCAAAUAUAAUACUAAUCUGCCACCUUUUUUUUUAAUUAUUUAGAGUGGAUUUAAAAAAUAAUAAUAAAAUAAAUAAUUAUUAGAGUAUAAUUGGAAUAAAAUUAAAAAUAAAGCUAUUUUUUUUUUCAUUACCUCUUAUUAUAUGCCAUUAUAAAAAAAAAACUUGAAAGCAAUUGAGACUAAGAGGUCAACUCUUGUAUUAAUAAUAUGGAAGAAUUUAAUGGCACAUGUUCACUAUUGGAAUAUUAUGUUAUGUAAUGUUAAGGGAAACACCAGUGGCCCAUUCUAUGCCCUGGCACUAUUGGAAUAUGUAGAGGGUUAUUGGUGACAAGUCCAUCCUUGAUGUGAUUUGUUUGUGAUGUGAUUUGUUUGUGAUGUGAUGCAUUUCAUGAAAGCAUGGAUUUUAAUAAAAUGUUUACUAUUCUGCUCACUGGACUCUAGUAGCUCACCCCUUUCCCUUAACCCCAAGUUUACAGGUUCGGAAUAGACUAGGAAGUCAGCAAGAGUAAAAGUUAUUUGUAUGUAAUAGUUAGUUGUGGAUAUGAAAGAUGAUGUAAUGUAAUGUAAGAUUUUGUAUAGUUUUGUAUUGAGGAUUAGCAUUAUGCUUGACCCUAGUGUUAUGGUUAAUUCCUUUGUUCAUGAUCAUUAUGAAAUGUUUUAAUGUUAACCAAACUUAAUGUAUGAUAUGCUACCCCAUUAGAGAAUUUGAUGAGAGCUCUAGUGUGGGGUUUUAUGUUUAUGAGUAUGUGCAUGCACAGGUUAAGCUUGGUGAAAGAAAAAGUUUAAAGUUUUUUAUGUAUUUGUAUGAUCAUGUAUAGGAUUUAUCAGGUAUGACAGAUUGUAUGUUAGGCUUGCUACUGGUUCCGGCGACCUUAAGUCGAUCUGGAUCCUAGUGCCGGUAGCGGUCCGAUUUCGGGUCGUUGCAGCCCUUAUUCAGUUUUCUACUCCUUUUGAGACCCUGCACAUUUGUACAAAUGUGAGAACCACAUCCGGUAUCUAAUACCCAUGAAGUAGAAAUAGAUAAAUUAAUAUUUAUAACAUAAAUAUCCGAAGUCGUAGUCUCACUACUCUUCUUCUUCUUGCACUCAUCCAAAUAGAGUUUGCAAUUUCUCUUCCAAUGCCCUGGUUCCUUGCAAUGGAAACAGACUCCUUCCUUAUAAACUAUUUCCUUAGGAACUUUUGCCUUGGAUUGCCAUUUAGGCUUGUCUUGUCCCUUAGGCCCAUUACCACCUUUAGACUUGGGCUUCCCCUUAUUUUUCAUGGGCUUACCCUUAUUGACAUUCAAAAUUUGGGUAGGCCUUUUCUUGAUAUUUACCUCAGCUGUCUUUAGCAUCCCAUGCAGCUCAAGAAUGGAUUUCUCCAUAUUGUUCAUGUUAUAGUUCAUGAAAAACUGAGAAAAACUGCUGGGUAAAGAAUGUAGGAUCAGAUCCGUAGAGAGUUAUAAACUCAGAGGAUAACCAAGCCUAGCAAGGUGAUCAAUGUAGCCUUUCAUCUUUAAAAUAUGAGCACUAAUUGAUUCACCUUCAGUCAUUUUGAAAUCAUGCAAUGCAAUGGUGGUUUCAUACCUAUCCUGUCUAGCUUGUUGUUGGAAAGCUUGUUUGAGAUGGACACUCAUCUCAUAAGCCUCAAGGUGCUCCAGAUCCUUCUGAAGUUCUGGGCACAUAAUUGCCAACAUAAGACAUCCAAUGUCAUUAGAAUCAUCCUUAUGCUUGUUCUUAACAGCAUUAGUAGCAUCCGCAGGAGGUGGUUCUGGGAUAGCUUCAUCAAGCACAUAGGACUUUUUCUCUUACUUGAGAACAAUUCUUAAGUUUCUAAACCAAUCAACAAAAUUAGUCCCAUUUUCUUUCAGUUUAUCCUUCUUAAGGAUGGAUCGCAGUGAUAAGGUGGAAUUGUUAUUAGCAGCCAUAAUUAUCUACAAAAUAUGCAAAUAUAAUCAAUUUAGUAAAUUAAUAUUGAGGUGAUAAUAAUCUCCUACUAAAAUACAACCCUCAAAAAGAAUUAUUAGAAUUAUAAUAUUUUAGUGGGUUAAGAUCCAUAUUUCACCUAAUUCUAAGUCAAUUUUGGCAUGACGCUUAGAAUUAAGUUAUUUAGGUAGGUAACUCCUUACCAAUUACAUCUAAUGUAACUCUUAGAUUAUGAGGUGUUGACAUUAUAUGUCAAAUUGCAUGUUAUACCCCAUCUAAUGCCCUAGGCCCAAAACCGUUUUAAUAGCCUAAUUAAGCCCAACCAAAAUUAAAUAAAUGAGUAACUAUUACUCAUCCUAUCUUACUAGGAUAACUUAAGCACUUUACUUUGGCAAAACCUGCAUUUUGGUGAUCUUAGUCUUGAUAGGUAUUUAAUAUAUGGAUGGCAUUAAAACUUAAAAUUUUAGAGUGAGGGUUCAACUUUUAAUUUUAAUUAUUUUGUCUUGCAUAUAUAUAUUAUAGCAUCCUAUAUGCAUACAUAUAUAUAUAGACAAUAAUGCAUAGUAUCUUAUAUUAAUAUAUGACAAAAUAAUAAAAUAUAGUCAUUUAAAUCUGAUUUAAAGACUAAAAGAAAAUAAUUUAAAAUUUAUUUUCUUAUUAAUAUAUUUUUUUAUUUUAUUUCCAGGGGUAGAAUUGUAAUUUGGACAUUAUCUUCUUCUUCAAGAAGCCCUAUUCGCCGCCAUCUACUGCUUCACCAUAUGCCAUCGCAUGCUCAUGUGGACAAGACAGCUGUGUUCUGGCCAUCACGUGUGAUGGUUGACAGUAGCUGGUCCUUUCCAAAUUCUGGGUUCACAAUGACUGUUCAUCGUGAAUCCAUUUCUUUUUAUUUUUUUUAAAUGAUAAAAUUAUUUAUCCACAGUUAUCAUGCCAUUCUAAUAAACAUAUAUCGCAUAUAUAAUAUCAAUCAUGGCAUAAUUAAUUUAAACGAGAAGCACAGGUUGGCUAUGAUACCAUUGUUGGGAAAUCCAGAGAUUAUUGCAACCCAAAUUGCACAGCGAAAAAAUAAAAUCUCGAAUUUCCUUUUCCCAGAAUCUUAGUGCUUCAUUUAAUUCACAAGAAUGAUAUGAGACUAACCUGUUAAUCUCGUCGAGAAUAUACAAUGUUGGACUAAUGGUGCUGCUUUUUCAAACGAACACCCUCUAUGGUAUCCACAUGAACGUCUUCUAUUCUUCUAGAGUACUAGCUCUCUCAAAGAUAGAUAGAUUAUGUGCUCUACAAUCUGCAGCCUUUUAGACUGAGUUUUCUAAAAAAUGUAUCCCUUCUACAAUUCGUAGAAGGGGUAUUUAUAUGUUUCAUUCUUUUGUUUUUCCCUCAACUCCUUACUAUCACAAUCUCACAGAUACUCAAAUAUCUUAUGUGAUAGAGUCCUUUAUCUGUAACAGUUACAGAUAGACUGCAGAUCUUUUAAAUAUUAUUAUCUCAUAAUAAUAAAUUAUUAAUAAUAAUAACACUAUUAUUAUUAAUUAUAUUAAUAAUUAAUAUUAAUAAUAAUAACACUUUAUUAUUUUUAAUUAUAUUAAUGAUUAAUAUUAAUAAUAAUAACACUUUAUUAUUAUUAAUUAUAUUAAUGGGCUUUAGGCUUUUAGCCCAUUAAUAUGACAUAACACAUCAACAACGUUCUUUUGUGUGUGAUCCAAUAGGCUCACAUUAAUUGGCAAUAGGCCCAGUCUAGCAAGAUAUUAUGACUACCCAACUAAUAUGAGGAUCAAUAGUCUGAUAAAGCCUAAUAAAUAUAAUAUGAAUUAAUCCCUUUGUCACACGUUAUCUAGUUUGAAUAUAAGUCAUGGUCAAUGUCAAACUUAUAAUGUUCAAACUUAUGAUUUCUUGAUCUCUAAGUAGACUGAUAAAAAUCAAAUGAUAUUGAUCACACUAUCAAUUCAUUUGAGCACGGCCAUGCAUUUCUCAGUCUCACUUAUCGAGGGGCCCAGAAGAUAUCUCUCUCGGAGAGAGGGACAAAUCCUAUCUUGAUUGUUCAUUAUCCUCUACAUAAUUUCUAUUAUGCUCAAUCAUAACCUUUAUGAUUGUCCGAUUAAAGACAAUGUUUGGUUAUGUCAAAACAUAAUAGUCCUUAUGUUGGAAACUAUGUGUAACAGCCCGCUUACCGGACCGCCACCGGCACUAGGAUCCAGAUCGGCUUAAGGCCGCCGGGACCCGUAGUAAGCCUACUGUAAACUCUGUGUACCUGUUAAAUCCCAUACAUGAUCCUCAUAAGCAUAAAACUGUAAACUGUAAACUCUGUGUACCUGUUAAAUCCCAUACAUGAUCCUCAUAAGCAUAAAACUGUAAACUGUAAACUUUUUUUUUUUUUUUCUUUCGCAUAUCCUAAGCUUGGUCUAAACAUUCUCUGUAUGCACUCUGAGAGUGAUACCUACUGUGGUACCAUACAGGAUAGAACGAUAGAAAACCCCUUUUUCCAGAGCUCUCAUCAUAUGCUCUGGAUGGGUCAUACUAUCAUACACCAAGCUUAGUCUCAUAAUCAUAAUCAUAACUUAACUUAAAACAUAAAACAUAAAACUGAUCAUGUACACAAGGGAUAAACAUACACUAGGGCCAAGCACAAUACUAUACUCUGUACAAGUGUACAUAACAUAAACUUUGUACUGUACAUCAUCAUGUCCACUACUCUAUACUAUUACAUAAACUCUUGCCCUUGCUGUCUCUUUCUCUUUCUCUUUCUUGAGGCCCUGAAAUAUGGGGUUAGGGAGAGGGAUGAGCUACUGAAGCCCAGUGAGCGGAAACAAUAAAAACAUUUAAAAGAUGCUAUCAUGAAAUGCGUCACAGCACAACCAUUUCACAUCAAGGAUUGGACAUGACCUCAGGACUCCCUCUGUCGAUACCCGGCCCCCGUAGGAACUCACACAAGUAUCUCACUAACUGCUCAUGGUGCCCGGCCCUAAAAGGGCUCACACAGGACUUAUCCAAGUCUAAUGUCCCGGCUCCCUUUGAAGGAGCUUACACAAGACAUGAAAUCUUGACAGAUAUAUGGGCUACUGCGGUCGCCUUGGUCCAAUCCACAUAGACAAAUAAUAAUGCAAUGCAACAACGUCGUGUAUACUAAUGCAAUGCAAUACAUCCUUUACUAACAUGGCAUCAAUGAUGCAUGAAGCAUGCUAAAAUAGUCAUUAACUUAAAAACAUAGGUCUGUUCCACUCACCUCUGAUAACUGUUGUAACAGUCUCUGUAACUCUAACUCUGUGGGCCUCCUUGGUUUCUCGGGUCCGCACCUACACAGGUGGACUCAAAUGAGAACCAAACUUAGCUUAACAUAACUCUAAACAUCUCCCCAAAACCCCUCUAAAACAUCAUAAGCAUGCAUGAAAAACUGGGCAAAGGAAGGUUGGACAGGGCACUUUCGGCGGCAGGUUCGGCGACCGAAAGUCCCUCCAGAGACGAAACUCAGGCACUUUCGGCGGCACCUUCGGCGGCCGAAAGUCCUCUCUAGAGACGAAAGUCUCAACCUUCGGCGGCAUGUUCGGCGGCCGAACCCUCCUUCCAGAGCCGAAAGUCCAUUCUUUCGGAGGCAGGUUUAGGCAGCCGAAACAGCCUCCACAAGGGGUUCGGCGGCCGAACCUUCUUUCGGCGGCCGAACCUGAGCUCUCCUCAAAGGCAGAACCCGAGCACAACUCAUGCUCACAGCCUCCAACUAACUCAAAAACACCCAAAACAUGCAUACCAACUAUCCACAACUAGCAUAUAACAUAUCUCAUGCAUAUAGGGGCCUCUAAACUAGCUUAAACCCCACAAGCAACAUAAAACCUCAUCAAAACUCAUAUGAUCAACAUAUGCUCAAACUCAUGGUUACACCCCAAACCAUGCCAUAAACUCUCUAAAACUCCUUAAAACAUACUUGAAACUUAAGGAGAGGUGAGGAUCCAUGCUUACCUCUUGAAGAACGAGAGGAUUGAUGGUCCAAGCUUGGAGAUGGGUGUAAAAACCAAUCAAAGUCUCCAAGUGCUCAACUUUUCUUCCUUUUGCUCAAAACUCUAAAACAAAGUUCAAAACAUGUUAAAACAUGCAAGAUUUGAAGAAAUUUCAUGAAAACAUACCAAGGGGAACAUGAACCUACCUUUGACCCAAAAACAGAGAGUUCAACACCCCUGUUCUCGGUCAAAAUGGCUUUUAUGGGUGGCCAACCGCCUCUCCUUCGGCUGCCGAAACUGCAUGCGAAACCAUGCAACUUUCGGCGGCCGAACUUCCCUUCGGCGGCCGAACUUCCCUUCGGCGGCCGAACCUGGCCUUUGUCCCCUUGCUCUUUUCCUUUCAAAACUCAUUUUUCCUUAAUCCAAAACCAUUCAAAACAUGAGAAAACAUAUAAAACAUUUUAAAAAAAACCUCUCUUAUACCCUUAGGGCAGGCUCCGACAUCCUCGAAUCCCAGAUUCCAACAGAGAAUCCGUCGGAUCGUAGGAAUUCCGAUACCGGGGUCUAGCCGGGUAUUACACUAUGAUAAUCUCAAGUCAAAUGAUUAAGACAUAACUACUUUGAGAUUCACUUAUGACAAUAACCCAUGUAGUGAUCUCAGUACUGGUCCAUCCAAUACUUUAUUCUCUAACAAGUAUCUAUGAUUAUUGAAUUAUAUCAACAAGUAUCUCAUGAUUAUCAAUCAAUAAUCAUACUAGCUAUAUUUUAUUAUUAUCAACAUAAUAAUAAGUAACCAGGGAUGAUAAUCAUUAUUAUGUAACAUGCAAAUAAAUAAUAAUGAUAAAAACCUCUUUUAUUAAUAACCAAAACGACAUACAAAAAGGUCUAAGAUAAUGGCCUAGGGCAUAUACACUAACAAUAAUUAUCUCGAACGUAGAGGAGUUAACACUGAUCGCCGACAGGUUAAUGUAGUUUAGCAGAUAGCCGAAACUGACAAGGAAGUGGAUGACGAUGAUGGAUCUAUUGCUAGUUCUGAAGAUGGAGAGGUCACCUAUGUGAUAAAGAAAAUCUUAUGCUCAACAAAACAGGAGGAUGAGAUGCAAUGGAGGAGGAUUUUCCAAGCAAAGUAUCGAGUAGGAAAGAUAAUUUGCAGGCUAAUUAUAGAUAGCUGCAGUUGUGAGAAUUUGAUAGCUAAGCAAAUGGUGGAAAAAUUACAGUUGCCUAUACAACCGCACCAUUCACCAUACAAAGUCGGAUGGAUUAAGGAAGGUCCGACAAUUGAGGUCAACAGAAUCUGCAAUGUGCCUAUCUCGAUCGGUAAAUCUUAUACUGAAUCUGUUAAUUGUGAUGUUGUGGAUAUGGAUUGCUGUGAAAUUUUGUUAGGUUGCCCUUAGCAAUUCGAUGUUGAUGCUUUGCAUAAGGGGAAGGAGAAUUCAUACAUGUUCACGUGGAAUCAAAAAAAGAUUACUAUUUUGCCUUCCGAUUCUAUGAAACAUUCUAAAGUGGAAGGGAAGAAUGUUGUUGGUGUUUCCACGGGAGUUGACUCGCAGUUGUAGAAACUGGUAAAAAAUAACCUUUUUGAUUAUCAACAAUUUACAACUAUAGAUAGUGGUGAAAGGAUCGAAUCCACAAGGAAUUAAAAACUUACUUAUUUUCCUUAUCAAGACCAAGAAAAUAAACUGAAACAAAACAUAAACUGAAAGAGAUAAACUGAAACGAGAUAAACGAAAUAAACUGAAACGAGAUAAACUGAAACGAGAUAAACUGAAAGCAAAAAUAACUGAAAGAGAAAUAAAUUGAAACGAGAUAAAACUGAAAGCAAAAAUAACUGAAACGAGAUAAAACUGAAAACAAAAAUAACUGAAACGAGAUAAAACUGAAAACAAAAAUAACUGAAACGAGAUAAAACUGAAAGUAAAAUAGGGGGUUUGAGAUUGAUUUAAUUAAACAACUACUGAAAGCAAUAAAAUAAGUGAAUAAUAAAAUAAAAGAGAAAUAAAUAAUGAGAAAGCUCUACUUGAAGAAUUGGAUCCACUUCAGUUGUUGGGAUUGAUCAUUGACACUUAGUUUCUUUUGAUUGAUUCAACAGAUUAGUUAUGGAGAUGGAAGACGCUUCUCACCACCAUGUCUCUCCUUAUGAUUAAACCAAUUAGGGAACGUCCUCUAAUUAAUUACUAAUUAACAAAUUGCCAAGGAACGUCCUUAGUCCUUAGGCAUCAAAACAAUUGUUAAUUGCAUGAAGAGAUAGAGAGAGCCAAUCCUAACUACUCAAACGCAUGAGAUGUUGCUAGAUCAUACAAUUUCCUUAGUUUUUACACCAAGUGUUCUUAUGUUUGAACAAUCCAAGCAAUUACGGACUCAAAAUUAUCCAAACUAAUAAUAUAUUACCUUGCAAUCAAGAAUCAAUUGGCCGUAUUGAUCAAAAUAACAAAGCAAUAAUAGAAUCAAGUAUGAAAUUGCAUGAAUAUUGAAUAACCAAAAGAUAAACAAUGUUUGAUCAAGUCUCCCAAUCCAUAAAACAACUAAAGUAUCACCUAAUCUUCAACUAGAAUAAAAGGUUUCAACCUCUUAUGGCUGAAACAAAAACCAAAAAUAAAAGAAAAGAUGAAAGGUAGAAGAAGAGAUGUGAAUCCCGUAGGUGUCUCCCAAGGGGAGUGUAAAGGGCAUGGGGAGGCUCCUUAUGUGUCUUUUUAUAGUUAAAAGUGUUGCCCUAGGUCUCCCUUGCUUCCUAAUUAGUGAAGAGGCUGCCCAAAGUGCUGAAAAGGAAAGAAUUGCGUUGCUAAUUAUUUAGAAGGAAAGUGGCGCGCGACAAGGCUUCAAAAGAGGAAGGAGGCGUGCCUUGUGCUUCGGAUGGUAAGAGGCGUGAGGCAAGGGUUUCAGAAGAGGAAGAUAUGCUGUUCAAGUUGCUGCCCACGUGCUGUUCAAGUUGCUGCCCACGUGCUGCCCAAGUGCUGCCCAUAUCUUGCACAUUAAUAAGAUGGAGCCUCUCUUUUGAAUUUUGAAUUUUGAAUGUGCAAGACUUGGGGGGCAAGUAUGACUUCUUUGGCUUCUUUGAUAAGCUGAAUUUGAAUUUCAAAAUCUGAAUGUGCAUCUUGAAGAUUUGGCUUCUCAAAUAAGGAAAAGGAUUCUUGAAGAUCUUGAAUUUCAAACUGCUCUGCAGACUGCACUUUCCUUAUUUAGCACUUUCCUUAUUUGGCACUUUCCUUGAUGAGCUGAAUCUUGAAUUUGGAUUUUGAAUUCUCUGAAGGAUUUGAAAUUAGAAUUUCAAAUUACUUUCCUUAUUUGGCACUUUCCUUAUUUGAAAACUUUCCUUUUUGCCACUUUCCAUAUUUGGCACUUUUUGGCAGUUUUAAGAGCAUUUUCUCCAGAUUGUCUCUUUGCACCUAAUAUCUGCAAAACAUGAUUAAAACCACAAAAUUAGGCAGAAAAAAUGCAAAUAAACAUCAAGAACAUCAUGAUAAAAUGGGCUAAAUUAUGCUCUAUCAAAUACCCCCACACCUAACUUUUUGCUUGUUCUCAAGCAAACAAACAUUUUCAAAUAAGCCUUCUUUGCUCUAGAUCCUUAUUACCACUUAAGCUCUUACUCUAGACCCUUAUUUUGAAUCAUUGCAGUGAAGAAUACAUGCAUGAAGAUUACUCACCUUCUUUCCUUGUUUCCCUUUGCUUACCAUGGCUAGGAUUUAUUUUCCUCAAGAGAGACCAUACAUGCACAUGUUUGUUUUGUUAAGACUUUUUCUAGCUUUCAGAGUGACUUGCCCUUACCUUGAAGUACUUUAUUCAGGCUUUAAAUUUUUUUUUUUUGCACUUUAUCCUUGCUUGAAAAAGUCACCAACCUUUUGACGUGAAGGUGAUAUAUUUGUGAUACCCACCCCCAGUUACUCAGUUUGUCACCUGUCCAAGUGGCUACUAGCUCUGUUCAUAGUCUUUUGACCAUUGGAACAGUUUUCAAUUUGUGCUUUUGAGGUCUUUGCCUUUGCUGAAUUUUCUUUCUCUCAAUGAUUUGGGCAAAUCAACACCAAUUGCUAAAACAAGUCAUGUUAAGUUCAUUCACACAAUUUCAAUUUAUUCUCUCUAAUGAGGGUCAUCAGUAUACUUUUCACCAUGGCAAGUUCUAAGAUUCAAUUCAAAAGGCAAUUCUCAAACAUGAAUAUAACUCACUGCAAUUUAUUCAACAUAAGUUUAAAGAGUCAUCACAUCAAUGGGGUCAUGGAAAGAAAGACUCAUCCAACAUAGCUCAUAAGUUUGAGUAAAGCAAAUCAGAACACAAACGAGAAGCUGUGGAAAAAUGAAAAAAAUGAAAAAAAUCACACUCAAAAUGAAAACAGAAAUUCAAACUGAAAAUUAAAGCAAAAAUUAAAAAUUAAGAAAUAUGCACCCCCACACCUAAAUCAUGCAUUGUCCUCAAUGUAUAGGAAUUAUUAAAAUGCAAAAGAAACUGAGUACUCCCCUGGGUGUGGUGUGCAUGGUGCGAUCCACUUGAUCAAGGCUCAAGUAAUUGGGGAAGGGAAAAGAGUCCCAACUGAAUUAAGUAGAAAGUGUAGCACGCCCUUUGAUUUAGUCAUAGCCCAUCUUAUUUUUUCCAUGUACUCAUGAAGUAACAUGAUUAGCUUCUCCUCUUUCAGGUGAGGUGUGCCUCUAGCCCUUAUGUUUGCAUUUUUUAGAUGAUUGGGACGCACUUUGAACUCCAAUUCAUGUUUCUCUAUGGCUAACUGCAAUUUAGUACUGAAUUUAGGCAAAACAAACUCUACCUUAUCCAGAGGUUUGGGAAGGCAUUGAUCCGCAUGGUCCUUUGGUUUAGGUGCUUGGAAUACCAUUUGUUCCUUAUGAGCAUGGGUUGUUUGCAUUGGAAGGCUGAAAGGAGUUUCAGUUUGCUCCUUCUGCGCAAGGCCUGACUGAAAGGGAGGACUGGAGGAGCUUGACUGCGUUGGAAGCUGAAAGGAUGCGAUGGAGGUGGCUUCAGGUUGCGCAAGGCUCAUUUGCGAAUUCUCCUGAAGAGGUGCGACAGAGCUCUCUUCAGUAUGUGCUUGGCUGCAGUUCACCUGUUGGAUGCAACAGUCAGUUUCUUUCAAUUCUGGCUCUUUCUGGUUCUUUUCCCUGCAAAAAUCAUUGUUUAGCAUAUCAUCUUGAUUUACAUAAAAAUUUUCUUGGCUCAUACAAUCAAUGAUAUCUAAACUUUCAGCAAGUUUUGUUUGAUUAGUCUGUUUAGGCAAACAAUUUUCUGGUUGUUUUUCUUCAGCAGCUUGCUCUUGUACUUGUGAGCUUUCAUCAUCUGUCUUAUCAUCUUGAAACUUUUCCUCUCUUCUUAACACGCGUGCACUCAUUGAGGUGGCCAAUUGUCCUAUCUGCUGUUGGAGGCCUUGCAUAGAACUUGCCAUUGUCUCCAUCAUCUUCUCAAGGUGCUGGUAGGAACUUGGAGGUUCUGGUUGGGCUUGAUAUCCUUGAUAAUCCUGGUAGUUAUUAGCCUCUGCAUAACUGAAGUUUGGAUAGUCUCCCUAACCUGGAUUAUAUGUAUUAUAGUAGGGAUCAUGUCUUGGUUGUUCGUGGAAUCCUCCAUAUGCAUGAACUGGUUGGUCAUACUGAUAAAGUGUGGGACAGUGAUCAGUUGGGUGUCCCAAAUAUCCACAGAUCCUACAUGGCCUUGGUGGCUAGGAUGCUUGAACCUGUUGAACUAGUCUUAUGGCAAAAUCUUUCAUAAAAAAUGUCAGAAAAGAAAGAUCAGAUCUACUUACCUCAUCCAUGAUUCAGAUCUGCGAUGGUAACUGUGCCUUUGGUGAGAUGAUGGGCGAUCUGAAUGGUGAAGAGAAGGAGAGAUGUGCGAUGGAGAUGUUUCAGAAGAGUUUUUUUUUUCUUUUUGGUCCUGAAAGAAAAAAAAACAAAUAAGUUAAAUCAACUCCCCGGCAACGGCGCCAAUUUUUAACUCGCGUUUGUCGAAGCCGGUCAAAAAUAACCUUUCUGGUUAUCAACAAUUUACAACUAUAGAUAGUGGUGAAAGGAUCGAAUCCACAGGGAAUUGAAAACUUACCUAUUUUCCUUAUCAAGACCAAGAAAAUAAACUGAAACAAAACAUAAACUGAAAGAGAUAAACUGAAACGAGAUAAACGAAAUAAACUGAAACGAGAUAAACUGAAAGCAAAAAUAACUGAAAGAGAAAUAAAUUGAAACGAGAUAAAACUAAAAGCAAAAAUAACUAAAACGAGAUAAAACUGAAAGUAAAAUAGGGGGUUUGAGAUUGAUUUAAUUAAACAACUACUGAAAGCAAUAAAAUAAGCGAAUAAUAAAAUAAAAGAGAAAUAAAUAAUGAGAAAGCUCUAGUUGAAGAAUUGGAUCCACUUCAGUUGUUGGGAUUGAUCAUUGACACUUAGUUUCUUUUGAUUGAUUCAACAUAUUAGUUAUGGAGAUGGAAGACGCUUCUCACCACCAUGUCUCUCCUUAUGAUUAAACCAAUUAGGGAACGUCCUCUAAUUAAUUACUAAUUAACAAAUUGCCAAGGAACGUCCUUAGUCCUUAGGCAUCAAAACAAUUGUUAAUUGCGUGAAGAGAUAGAGAGAGCCAAUCCUAACUACUCAAACGCAUGAGAUGUUGCUAGAUCAUACAAUUUCCUUAGUUUUUACACCAAGUGUUCUUAUGUUUGAACAAUCCAAGCAAUUACGGACUCAAAAUUAUCCAAACUAACAAUAUAUUACCUUGCAAUCAAGAAUCAAUUGGCCGCAUUGAUCAAAAUAACAAAGCAAUAAUAGAAUCAAGUAUGAAAUUGCAUGAAUAUUGAAUAACCAAAAGAUAAACAAUGUUUGAUCAAGUCUCCCAAUCCAUAAAACAACUAAAGUAUCACCUAAUCUUCAACUAGAAUAAAAGGUUUCAGCCUCUCAUGGCUGAAACAAAAACCAAAAAUAAAAGAAAAGAUGAAAGGUAGAAGAAGAGAUGUGAAUCCCGUAGGUGUCUCCCAAAGGGAGUGUAAAGGGCAUGGGGAGGCUCCUUAUGUAUCUUUUUAUAGUUGAAAGUGUUGCCCUAGGUCUCCCUUGCUUCCUAAUUAGUGAAGAGGCUGCCCAAAGUGCUGAAAAGGAAAGAAUCGCAUUGCUAAUUAUUCAGAAGGAAAGUGGUGCGCGGAUUGCACUGCAGAAGGAAAGUGGCACGCGGCAAGGCUUCAGAAGAGGAAGGAGGCGUGCCUUGUGCUUCAGAUGGUAAGAGGCGUGAGGCAAGGGUUUCAGAAGAGGAAGAUAUGCUGUCCAAGUUGCUGCCCAAGUGCUGCCCAUAUCUUGCACAUUAAUGAGGUGGAGCUUCUCUUUUGAAUUUUGAAUUUUGAAUGUGCAAGACUUGAGGGGCAAGUCUGACUUCUUUGGCUUCUUUGACAAGCUGAAUUUGAAUUUCAAAAUCUAAAUGUGCAUCUUGAAGAUUUGGCUUCUCAAAUAAGGAAAAGGAUUCUUGAAGAUCUUGAAUUUCAAACUGCUCUGCAGACUGCACUUUCCUUAUUUAGCACUUUCCUUAUUUGGCACUUUCCUUGAUGAGCUGAAUUUUGAAUUUGGAUUUUGAAUUUUUUGAAGGAUUUGAAAUUAGAAUUUCAAAUUACUUUCCUUAUUUGGCACUUUCCUUAUUUGAAAACUUUCCUUUUUUGGCACUUUCCAUAUUUGGCACUUUUUGGCAGUUUUAAGAGCAUUUUCUCCAGAUUGUCUCUUUGCACCUAAUAUCUACAAAACAUGAUUAAAACCACAAAAUUAGGCAGAAAAGAUGCAAAUAAACAUCAAGAACAUCAUGAUAAAAUGGGCUAAAUUAUGCUCUAUCGGGAGUGCAUAGGCUAUCAGGCGCAGUUGAGAAAUCUGAAGGCACACUGGCUUUAUUGGUAAGAGAAAAAGGUACAAUGGAGGAUGUAUCAUCUUUACCACCACCCGUCAAAGAGCUGUUGAAAGAGUUUCCUAAGAUAGUGGAGGAAUCAUCCAAGCUUCCACCUCUAUGGGAUAUCCAACAUCAGAUUGAUCUCAUUCCUGAAUCAAAAUUACUGAAUCUGCCUCAUUACAAGAUGAGUCCAAAGGAGAGUGAAAUCCUCUAAGAACAGGUUGAAAAAUUACUGAAGAAGGAACAUAUUCAGAAGAGCAUUAGCCCUUGCGGAGUACCUGCCCUAUUAGUUUCAAAGAAAGAUGGGACUUGGAGAAUGUGCGUGGAUAGCAGGGCCAUCAACAAAAUUACAGUUCAGUAUCGAUUUCCUAUUCCAUGAUUGGAUGAGAUGCUGGAUCAGCUAUCCGAGUCUAAAGUCUUUUCUAAAAUCAACCUUAAAAGUGGCUAUUACCAAGUUUGGAUCAAGGAAGGAGAUGAAUGGAAGACUGCCUUCAAGACUAAGGAAGGCUUGUAUGAGUGGCUGGUUAUGCCCUUUGGUUUGACGAAUGCACCUAACACUUUUAUGCACUCAUGAAUCAGGUUUUGCGUCCUUUCUUAUGCAAAUUUAUGGUUGUUUAUUUUGAUGACAUCUUGAUCUUUAGUCGCAGCAAAGAAUAACAUUUACAACAUCUCCGUCAAGUCAUGACAAUCUUGCAAGAAAGUGAGUUGUUAUUAAUCUUAAGAAGUGCAUUUAUAUGACGGAGCGUGUUCUGUUCCUGGGGUUCGUUGUUAGUGCAAAAGGGAUACAUGUUGAUGAGAAGAAAGUAGAAGCAAUAUGGAAUUGGCCCAUCCCCAAAACUAUUUCUGAAGUUCGCAGCUUUCAUGCCCUUGCUACUUUCUAUCGACUGUUUAUCAUAAAUUUCAGCAGCAUCAUUGCCCCAAUCAUAGAUUGCUUGAAGAAAGAGAGAGUACAGAAAUUUGCAUGGACUGAAGCUGCCAACAAGAGCUUUGAAGAGAUUAAAUAUAAGCUUACUUAUGCCCCUAUUCUUGCUCUACCCGAUUUUGAAAAACUGUUUGAGGUUGAAUGUGAUGCUUUUGGAGUUGGGAUUGGUGGAAUGUUGUCACAGUCUAAAAGGCCUAUUGCCUUCUUUAGUGAGAAACUGAAUGAAACUAGAAAGAAAUUGUCUACUUAUGAGUAGGAGCUAUAUGCAGUAUUCUAGGCUUUUAAAACUUGGGAGUAGUAUCUGAUGGGGCGAGAAUUUAUUAUUCACACAGAUCAUCAAUCUUUGAUCCAUUUUAAAACUAAAAAACAUGUGAAUAAGAUGUAUGCUUGAUGGGCAGCUUACUUUGGAGCCUUCCAUUAUGUCAUCAAACAUAAGGCUGGCCAUAGUAAUAAGGUGGCAGAUGCUUUGAGUAGGAGGGCUGCUUUGUUGAUUACAGUUAAUCAGGAGGUUGUAGGUUUUGAAUUUCUGAAGGAUUUGUAUACUACAGAUGAUGACUUUGCUGAUAUAUGGGCUAGAGUCCAGACUCACCAGCUUGCUAAUGGGUUCUUGGUACAUGAUGGCUUUUUUUUUAAGGAGAAUAAGUUAUGCAUCUCUUGAUCUUCUUUGCAGGAAAAGCUGAUUCGAGAGGUCCAUGGAGGAGGUUUGAGUGGUCAUUUGGGGCGUGACAAGACUAGUGUUGGGUUGGAGGAGCGUUUUUAGUAGCCAUAAUUAAAAAGGGAUACAGGUUGGAUUGUAAUACCCGGCUAGACUCCGGUAUCGGAAUUCCUACCGUGCGGUGGAAUCUCGGAUGUCGGAGCUCUCCAGAAGGGUAAUAUAUGUUUUUCUAAAAUGUUUUCAUGUGUUUUAAGGUUUUAAGUAAGAAAGAAAAUGAGUUUUUGAAAGAAAAAUACCAUGGAAGGAAAUCCAGGUUCGGCCGCCGAACCUCAUGUUCGGCCGUCGAACAUGGUGGAGUUUAGGGAGCACCUUUGGCCUCCGAAGGUGGUCUGGCUAGCCACCUAUAAAAGGCUCCAUGUCCGGAAAUGGGAGAGUUUUCUUCUCCAUUUUCGGGCAAAGGUGAGUCCAUGCCCUUCCAUGGUUAGUUUAGAUGUUUUUCUUCAAUCCCUUCAAUUUUUAAUUAGUUUUAACUUGGUUUUGAAGAUUUUUGAGCGAAGAUCAAGUUUUUGAGCUUGGAGACCCAAGGAGCUUGAUUUCUCCCAUCUCCAAGUUUGGAUCGCCUCUUCUCUCGGUUUUCAAGAGGUAAGUAGAGAUCCUACCCUUCUUUUAUGUUUUAAAUAAGUUUUGAGGGGUUUUAAGGGAAUGUGAUGCUUGGUUUGACUAUAUGUUUUAUGUUAGGGUUUAUGUUAGUUUUAUGGGUAAUGUAUGUUAUAUAUUUGUUGGGGUUUAGGCUAGUUUGAGACCCCUAUAUGCUUAUGAAUGUGUGUAUGCAUGUUUUGGAAGUGUUGGAUGUGAGUGUGAGAGGUUUUGGAGGCAGAUUGCAUGAGGCGGAAUCGGGUUCUGCCUUUCUGAGGAACCCAGGUUUGGCCGCCGAAGGUGGUUUCGGCUGCCGAACCCGCCUGUGGAAGCAAUCUUUGACCGCCUAAACUUGCCCCCGAAAAUGGACUUUCGGCUCUGGAAGGGACUUUUGGCCGCUGAAAGUGCAUGACUUUCGUCUCUGGAGGAGACUUUUGGCCGCCGAACCUACCCCCGAAAGUGCCUGACUUUCGGAUCUGUGGGGCAUUCGGCCGCCAAAUCUGCCGCCAAAGGUGCCCUGUCCAGCCUUCCUUUGCUUGUUUUGCAUGCAUGUUCUGUGAUGUGUUAGGGGGUUUUUGGGGAGUUGUUUAGAGUAAUGUUUAUGUAUGUUUGGUCUCUCAUUUGAGUCCACCUGUGUAGGUUCGGACCCGAGGAAUCGAGGACCCCAGCAGUGAGAUAGCUGCUUCAGAGUCUGUUCAGAGUCAGCCUGAGGUGAGUAGAAUGGAUCUUUAUUGCAAAGUAAAUAAAUUUUGAGCAUGUUCAUGCAUCAAGAAUGCCAUGAUAUAUACUAGGUUGUAUGCAUUAGAAUUCACGAAUAUGUUGCAUUGCAUAUUAUGAUGUUGAUGUGGGUGGACGUUGGAUGAUCCAUUAGUCCUCGAUAUGAUAUGAGAUGGUAUGGUACGAAAGUCCAAGUCGAGGCCCAUGCUACACCCCUGGCAUAAUGUUAAGAGAAAGUCCAGGUCGAGGCCCAUUCUACGCCCCUAGCAUAUUGGAAUGUUAUGUUAUGCUAUGUUAAGGGAAAGACCAGUGGCCCAUUCUACACCCUGGCACUAUUGGAAUGUAUAGAGGGCUAUUGGUGACAAGUCCAUCCUUGAUGUGAUUUGUUUGUGAUGUGAUGCAUUUCAUUAAAGCAUGGAUUUUAAUAAAAUGUUUACUAUUCUGCUCACUGGGCUCUAGUAGCUCACCCCUUUCCCUUAACCCCCAGGUUUGCAAGUUCGGGAUAGACCAGGAAGUCAGCAAGAGUAAAAGUUAUUUGUAUGUAAUAGUUAGUUGUGGACAUGAAAGAUGAUGUAAUGUAAUGUAAGAUUUUGUACAGUUUUGUAUUAAGGAUUAGCAUUGUGCUUGACCCUAGUGUUUAUGGUUAAUCCCUUUGUUCGUGAUCAUUAUGAAAUGUUUUAAUGUUAACCAAGCUUAAUUUAUGAUAUGUUGCCCCACUAGAGCAUUUGAUGAGGGCUCUAGUGUGGGGUUUUAUGUUUAUGGUUAUGUACAUGCACAUGUUAAGCUUGGUAAAAUGGAAAAAGUUUAUAGUUUUUAUGUUUAUGUAUGAUCAUGUAUGGGAUUUAUCAGGUAUGAUAGGUUGUAUGUUAGGCUUGCUACGGGUCCUGACAACCUUAAGUCGAUCUGGAUCCUAGCGCCGGUAGCGGUCCGUUUUCGGGUCGUUACAGAUUGGUAUCAGAGCUCUAGGUUCAUAUGGUCGGAUCUAGAGAGUGUCGGGCUUAUAGAUGUUAUAGAAGGGCAAGCACAAUAGGAAAAUCAUGUCCACUAGGAUAGGAUAUGGAGUCCUGUCCUGUAUGAUGAUGUGAAAUGCCGUGAUUAUAUGCAUGUGCAUUAAUGAUAUGUUAUGUAUGUGAUGCGGGUUCAUGUGUUUCCACUUGAACCAUAUGAUGCUAAUGUUUUAUGUGUUGUGUGUUGUUUUUCAGAAACAGGAUGAGAGGAACUCGUCGAUCUGCACGAUUGACUGGAGUCCCACCAGAAGGUGAGGGCAUGGAUGCCCGACCCCCUACAUUACCUAGGGCAAUGUCCUGCAGGUCUAGUAGAGAGAGAGUGUCAAGGGACCCUAGAAGGUCUUUUAAUACAAGCAGAAGGGGAGCAGUUCAGGGAGGAGUGUCAGCUGAGGGGGAUGAUAUGGAUGUUGACCAGAGAAGGGAUGGAAGCUUAGGUGUGAGCAUGUCUGAAGAGGGCAUGGGAGAAUCUCAAAGAGGCACUCAGGUCUCGGGGUUUGUUCAACCACCCCAAUAUCCACCCUUUCCACAGGGCCCCGGGUAUUCGAUGGGAGGUACAUCGAAUUACCCCAGCUUUAACCCUUAUCCCUCUUACAUGCCAUAUCCACCUUUCUACCCACCACACCCCCAGUACCCUAUGUAUCCACCCCCAUCCUUUUAUCCAAGUACAGCAAACCCUAACCCAGGGGAUGUUGCACCUCCUCCACCACCAGCAGACCCUAUAGCCCCCGUGACCCAAAUACCCAAACCUAGCUCAUCUGGGGGGAGCAAAGUCAAGAUGACUGAUUACUUGAAGUUGGAUGCUCCCAAGUAUGAAAUAGGUGAUGAUCCGUUUGAGUAUCUCAGGACGGUCAAAAUGAUUACAGAUGAGUUAGGGGCAGAUGACAGUAGAGCCAUUCAGAUGGCUGGGUUCACUCUGAAAUGCAAGAAGGCCCAUGAGUGGUUUAAAAACUAUGUGAACCCGAGGUUGGAUAGUCUAUUGAUAGAGCACAUUUUAGUCUACUUUCUCAUUAUGUUCUUGAUGUUUAUUUACAUCUUUUCUGCCUAAUUUUGUGGUUUUAAUCAUGUUUUACAGAUAUUAGGUGCUAAGGAACAUUUUGGAGAAAAUGCUCUUAAAACUGCCAAAAAGUGCCAAAUAUGGAAAGUGCCAAAGAAGGAAAGCAUUUUGAAAUUCAAAUCUCCAAGAUUCAUAUUCAAAUUUUGAAUUUCAAGAUCCAGCUUAUUAAGGAAGCCAAAUCCCAAGAUCACAUGUUUCCCCUUUCAUGACCAUGCAUAUUCAAAAUUCAAAUUUGCAAAGGAGGCUCCACCUUCCUUAUUAGUGCAUGGGCGGCAAGGAGCAUGUGAAGGCAAGCCUUGGGCAGCAACUUGAAGACACUUGGGCAGUAAACAAAGACCAAGGAGUCCACUCCUUGCAAUUGAAGACAAGCCCCACGUUUUUCCCUUCAUACAUGUGCAUAGAUGGCACACCUUGGACCAAGGACAUUUUGGGCAGCCUCUAAAAGAUGCAUGGACAGCCAAGAAACCCUAAGCAGCCUCUCAAGACAUAUUUAAAGGCCUCAAGAAGACCAAAAGAGGCAGAUUGGACAACAACUCCAUCUCCCCCAUUCGGCCAAGCAAGGACCGGCGCUCCACCUCUCCACUUCUUCCAAUCGGUUCCCCUUUUCCUCUUCUCUUCUUGUUUUUGAUUUUUGUUUCAGCCAUGAGUGGCUGAAACCUUUUAUUCUAGUUGAGGAUUGGUUGAAACUAAGGUUGUUUAAUGGAUUGUGAGAUCUGAUCAUAAACUAUUGUCUUUGAUUUUGUUCAAUAUUCAUGCAAUUGAUGCUUUAAUUCCAUGAUUGCUUUGUUGUUUUGAUUAAAUUGGCCACUUGAUUCUUGAUUGCAAGGUAAUUGAUUGUUAGUUGGGAUUAUUUUUAGUCCAUAAUUGCUGGAAAUAUUCUGACCUAAGAACACUUAGUGUAAAAACCAAGGAAUUGCAUGAUCUAGCAUCAUCUUCAUGCGUUUGGAGUAGCUAGGAUUGGAUCUCUCUAUUUCUUCAUGCAAUUGACAAUUGUUUUGAUGCCUAUAGCCCAAUGAUGUUCCUUGGCAAUUUGUUGAUUAGUAAUUGAUUAGAGGACGUUCCCUAAUUGAUUUAUUCAUAAGGAGAGACAUGGCGGUGAGAAGCGUUUUCCACCCCCAUAACUAAUCUAUUGAAUCAAUCAAGAUAAACUAAGUUUCAAUGAUCAAUCUAAACAACCAAGGUGGAUCCAUAUCUUCAACUAGAAUUUUCUCAUAUUGAAUUCUCUUUUAUUUUAAUUAGUUGCUGGUUUGAUUGCUUUCAGUAGUGAUUUAGUUGCUUUCAGUAGUUUGUUAAUCAAAACAAUCUCAAAACCCCCCUUUUUACUUUUAUUGCACUUUAGUUCUAUUCCGCUUUCAGUUACUUGCUUUCAAUUGCACUUUCAGUUGAUUCUCUUGGUCUUGUUGAGAAAAAUAGAUUGGUAAUCAAUUCUCUGUGGAUUCGAUCCUUUCACCACUAUCUGCAGUUGUAAAUUGUUAAUAACCAGAAAGGUUAUUUUUGACCGGCUUCGACAACCGCGAGUCAUCUAUCCUGGAAAGAGUUUGCAAAUGAGUUUGCAGGAUGGGCUUUCCCUGAUAGCUCAAGAGAGUUGAAGAUCAUUGAGUUUGAACAGUUGAGACAGACAGAACAGAUGAGUGUAGAUGAGUUUACAGAUAAGUUCUUGGAGCUGUUGCCAUAUGUGGGGCAAGCUUAUGAUACAGAUCAGAAGAAGGCAAAGAGGUAUACUAUGAGACUUCACUCUAAGUAUUCCUCCCUGAUUCUUGCAGCAGAGAGGGAGAGCUUCCACACUAUUGUGGAUGCAGCACAAAGAUGGAGGCUAGUGCCAUCAUUCAAGGAACAGUUAAGCAAUCUGUGGCACAAUCUUCGGGUUCCAAGACCCCAGGCAGGGGAAAGUUAGAUCCCUCUUCUCUGAGUGUAGCAACUUCAGGUAGUAAGAAGUGGGGUAAAGCUAAGGUCAAAAAGAACAAGUUCUGGAAUCGAUUGAAAUCAGGUCUGGGUUUAGGUGAUGGCUCGAGCUCAGGUCCAGAUGGUGCAGAAUGUUUGAGGUGUGGUAAACUACACAGGGGAGCGUGUCGGUUUGGGACUACAGCCUGCUUUAGAUGUGGACAGGAGGGACACAUGGCACGGGAGUGUCCUAGAGCACCUUUCAUGGCACAGUCCCAGCAGACAGCUUCUGGUAGUGUGGCUCAGCCAGUAGCUCCAGCUGCGACACAGGGCAGUGGCAGAGGCAGAGGGAGAGGGGCAGCCUCUUCUUCAGCAGGUUCCCGAGGUGAAGGUCCAUCAGCUCCAGCACGGAUCUUCACUAUGACACAGCAGGAGGCUAAUGCAUCAAACACCGUGGUGUCAGGUAAUCUCAUCAUUGGUUGUUCAAAUGUGUAUGCCUUAAUGGACCCUGGUGCAUCUCAUUCUUUUGUUGCUCUGAGAGCUGUAGAGAGGAUGGGUUUGAUGGUCUCUGGGUUAGAGUGUCCCCUUUGGGUCAAUGGACCCAAGUGUGACCCAUCAGUGGCAGAGUCAGUCUGCCAGUUUAGUCCAGUUUUUGUUGAGGGAAGAUGCCUUCCAGCCGACCUUGUGGUUCCAGAUUUGACGGAUUUUGAUGUCAUUCUAGGGAUGGAUUGGCUAUCUACUCAUGGUGCUACCUUGGACUGCAGAGACAAGGUAGUCAGGUUCAGAGGUCAGGAUGGGUCAGAGGUUGUAUUCAGGGGAGACAGGAGGGGUACACCUAGAGGUUUGAUAUCAGCCCUACAGGCUCGUAGGUUGCUCAGAAGGGGUUGUCAGGGGUGUAAUACCCAGCUAGAGUCCGGCAUCGGAAUUCCUACUGUCCAAUGGAAUCUCGGAUGACGGAACCCUUUAGAAGGGUAAUAGCCAUGUUUUCUAAAGUGUUUUGUAAGUGUUUUAAUGUUGUAAGUGUAAAAGAAAUAAGUUUGUUUGAAAGAAAAGCACCAAGGCAGAAAAGCCAGGUUCGGCCGCCGAAGGUAAUGUUCGGCCACCGAACAUGCAUGGCUUUCGGCUUCACUUUUGGCCGCCGAAGGUGGUCUGGCCAGCCACCUAUAAAGGGCCAUAGGUCGGUGAAUGGAUAGGAUUUUUCUUCCUUUCCACUGACAGAGGUGAGACCAUGAUCUUCCUUGGGUGAUCUUUGAAUUUUCUUCAAUCUUUCAAAGUUUUGAUAAGUUUUUAUGAUGUUUUGAAGCUUUUGAGCAAAAGACCAAGGUUUUGAAGCUUGGAGAGUUUGAGAGCAAGUUUCUCCAUACCUCCACGUUAGGAUCGCCUAACCUCACGAUCUUUAAGAGGUAAGUGUUGAUCCCUAGCUUCUUUCAUGUUUUGAGCAAGUUUUAUAAAGGUUUUAUGGGUAGAGAUGCAUGUAUAGGUUAAGAAGGGUUGUGUGAGCUUUUGGUGUAUAUGCAUGCUAUGUGUUAUGUUGUGAUGUUUUGUUGGGGUUUUAAGUUAGUUUUUGACCCCUUUGUGCAUGUACUUGAGUAUAUGCUUGUUUUUGAGAUGUUGGUUGCAUGUUUGAGGAAGUUGGUGAGGGUUUGUGCAUGAAGCAGAGCAGGGUUCUGCCUCACUGGCGAACCCAGAUUCGGCCGCCGAAGGAAGGUUUGGCCGCCGAACGUGCUAAGGAGGUGUUUUCGGCUGCCUAAACCAGCCCCCGAAAGUCUGGACUUUCGGCUCUGGAGGAGGGGUUCGGCCGCCGAAGGUUUGGGACUUUCGGCUCUGGAAUGCCUUUCAGCCCCCGAACCUUGCCCCCGAAAGGGUUCGGCUGCCGAAAGUUAAGUUCGGCUGCCGAAGGUGGUUGAGUUUCGACUCUGGAAGGGACUUUCGGCCGCCGAACCUGCCGCCGAAAGUGCCCUGUUCAGCCUUCCUUUGCAUGUUUUUCUUGAAUGUUUUAGGAUGCUUUGGGGAAGUCUUGGGGAGUUUUAUAGAGAUGUUCUUGAGUUAGUUUGGUCCCUCAUUUGAGUCCAUCUGUGUAGGAAUGGACCAGGGGAACCAAAGAGUUCAGCAGUGAUAGCUGCUUCAGAGUUCUCAGAGUUAGUACAGAGUCAGCAAGAGGUGAGUGGAACUAACUUAUGCUUUUAAACUAAAUGAAAGUUUUAGCAUGAUUCAUGCAUCAUAAAUGCCAUGUGAAUGCUAGGUUGUAUCGCAUUAGAAAUCACGAAUAUGUUGCAUUCCAUUCUAUGUUGUUGGUGUGGGUGAUGUUGAAUGAUCCAUUAGUCCCUAAGGAAGACCAGGUGCCUGUCUCUACACCCUGGCAUGGUAUAUGAGGAAGUCCAGGUGCCUGUCUCUAUGCCCUGGCACGAUGGUAAGUAUGAUAUGUAUGGUUAGUAAGGAAGACUAGGUGCCUACCUCUAUGCCCUAGCAUAGGAUGCUGGGACUAUUGGUGACAUGAUUCACCCUUGAUGUGAAUUGUUUGUGCUGUGGCGCAUUUCAUGAGAGCAUAUUUUAUUAAUAUGUUUUUACUUAUUCUACUCACUGAGCUAUAGUAGCUCAUCCAUUUUCCCUUAACCCCAGUCUUGCAGGUUCAGAGUAUAGAGGGAGGUCAGCAGGGUACAGAGAAAGAGUAAAGAGUUAUGUAAUAGCAUAGUGUGGACAUGUAAUAUUGUAAAAGAGAUGUUUUAGUAUUGUGCUUGAUCCAUAUAUUUUGUAAAUCCCUUUUUGUAUACAUGGUUUGUUUAUAUAAAUGUUUUGAUAAUGAAUAUGAAAACCAGGUUUAACCUAUAGAGUGUUGACUCCGCUAGAGCAUUUGAUGAGGGCUCUAGUAGGGGGUCUGUGCACAGAGUACAGGGAUAGUGCAUGCACAGGUUAAGCCUUGGUACAGAGUCAAGUUUUCAAUUUUUACAAAAAAUGUAUGACCAUGUAUGGGUUUUUAACAGGUACACAGAGAGUAUAGUAGGCUUGCUACGGGUCCCGGCGACCUUAAGUCGAUCUGGAUCCUAGCGCCGGUAGCGGUCCAGUUUCCGGGUCGUUACAAGGGGUUUCUAGCUCAUGUGAGAGAGCUUGACAGUUAGGUUAGGGAGCCCGCCUCAGUGCCCGUAGUCAGAGGGUUUUUAGAUGUUUUUCCAGACGAGCUUCCAAGACUACCACCUGCUAGGGAGAUAGAGUUCGAAAUAGAGUUGAUGCCUGGAACCAGACCGAUCUCUAUCCCUCCCUACAGGAUGGCACCAGCUGAGUUGAAAGAGUUGAAGGAGCAGUUGCAAGAGCUAGUAGAUAAGGGUUUCAUCCGACCGAGUACCUCACCUUGGGGUGCUCCAAUGCUUUUUGUGAGAAAGAAGGAUGGAUCCCUCAGACUUUGUAUCGACUACAGGCAGUUGAACAAAGUCACUACCAAGAAUAAGUAUCCAUUACCUAGGAUUGAUGAUCUAUUAGACCAGCUAGCAGGAGCAAGUUGUUUCUCCAAGAUAGAUCUGAGAUCCGGGUACCACCAGCUGAGAAUAAGAGAAGAAGAUGUGCCGAAGACGGCGUUCAGGACCAGAUAUGGGCAUUAUGAGUUUCUAGUAAUGCCGUUCGGGCUAACUAAUGCCCCUGCAGCAUUCAUGGACCUCAUGAAUAGAGUGUUUAGCCAGUAUCUGGAUCACUUUAUUAAUUGUCUUCAUUGAUGAUAUCUUAGUGUAUUCCAGAAAUGCAAAGGAGCAUGCCCAUCAUCUGAGGACAGUUUUGCAGACCUUGAGGGAGCAUGGCUUGUAUGCCAAGUUCUCCAAGUGUGAGUUCUGGUUAAGGAGCAUCUCAUUCUUGGGGCAUGUUGUGUCAGAACAGGGAACUGAAGUGGACCCCAAGAAGGUAGAAGCUAUAGCUAAUUGGCCCAGACCCACUACAGUAAUAGAGAUCAAGAGCUUUUUGGGUUUGGCAGGUUACUACAGGAGGUUCGUUUAGGACUUCUCUAAAAUUGCCGCUCCUAUGACCAGAUUGACCAAGAAGAGCUAGAGGUUUGUGUGGUCUGAGAAAUGUGAAGAAAGUUUUGAAGAGCUGAAGAAAAUGUUAACGUCAACACCGGUGUUAGCUCUACCUACCAAUAAUGAAGACUUCACAAUGUAUUGUGAUGCGUCCCGUGUGGGACUAGGUUGUGUGUUGAUGCAGAAUGAAAGGGUAAUUGCUUAUGCUUCUAGGCAGUUGAAGAAGCACGAAUUGAAUUAUCCUACACAUGACCUAGAAAUGGCAGCUGUGAUCUUUGCACUAAAAAUGUGGAGGCAUUACCUGUAUGGGGUUAAAUGCGAGAUCUUCACAUAUCAUAAAAGCUUGCAGUACAUCUUGAGUCAGAGAGAGUUGAACCUGAAGCAGAGGAGAUGGGUAGAACUGCUUAGUGACUAUGAUUGUAAAAUUCAGUACCAUCCGGGUAAGGCAAAUGUUGUGGCAGACGCCCUAAGCCGGAAAUCACUUGGCAUUUUGUCCCAUAUUAUAGCAGAGAGGAGACCGGUGGUGAGAGAGUUCUAUAAGCUCAUUAAUGAAGGUUUGUAGUUGGAGUUGUCUGGUACAGGUGCUUUGAUAGCUCCGAUGAGAGUGACACCCGUGUUUCUGGAGCAGGUUGCUCAGAAACAGCAUGCGGACCCAGAGUUAAUGAAGAUUGCCAGGACUGUUCAACUAGGCAAGAAUGAUGAGUUCAGAUUUGACAGCAAAGAGAUCCUCCGCUAUGGGAACAUGUUAUGUGUACCAGAUGACGUAAGUCUGAAGGGAGACAUUAUGAGAGAAGCUCAUAAUGCCAGAUACAGUAUUCACUCUAGAGCCACCAAAAUGUACCAGGAUCUGAAAAGAGUUUAUUGGUGGCCAGCUAUAAAAAGAGAAGUGGCACAGUUCGUGUCAGCCUGCGAAGUAUGUUAGAGGGUGAAGCUGGAACAUCAGAAGCCAGCUGGAAUGCUUAACCCACUGCCGAUUCCAGAGUGGAAAUGGGAGAAUAUAGCUAUGGACUUCGUGGUGGGAUUACCGGCGACGUCCAAUAGACUAGACUCUAUAUGGGUGAUUGUGGACAGACUGACCAAAUCUGCUCACUUCAUUCCUGUCAAGAGUGGCUACUCUGUGGACAAGUUGGCGCAGGUGUAUGUGGAAGAAGUUGUCAGGUUGCAUGGGGCUCCCGUUUCUAUAGUGUCAGAUAGGGGACCCUAGUUCACCUCUAGGUUUUGGCGGAGACUGCAGAAUGCUAUGGGCACCAGACUAGACUUUAGCACUGCUUUCCAUCCUCAGACUGAUGGACAGUCAGAGAGGACCAUCCAGACUAUAGAAGAUAUGCUCAGAAUGUGUGUGCUAGAUUUUGGCGGUUCUUGGAGGCAGCAUCUACCUUUAGUGGAGUUUGCCUACAAUAACAGCUAUCUUACUAGCAUCGGGAUGGCUCCUUAUGAAGCUCUUUAUGGGAGGAAGUGCAUGUCACCUGUCUGUUGGGAAGAAGUUGGAAAACGGUCCUUAGCAGGACCUGAGUUAGUAGAGAUCACCAACAGAGUAGUGCCCAUCAUCAGAGAAAGAAUCAGAACUGCUGUGAGUCGGUAGAAGAGUUAUGCAGAUGUUCGCAGGAAGCAUGUAGAGUUUCAGGAGGGAAAUUUGGUGUUGCUCAAGGUGUCUCCUAUGAAAGGGGUUAUUCGGUUUGGGAAGAAAGGUAAGCUAGCUCCAUGGUACAUCGGACCCUUUGAGAUCUUGCAAAAGAUUGGGAAUGUAUCGUACAAGUUGAACUUACCUGCUUCUAUGGAGAGAAUCCAUCCAGUUUUCCAUGUUUUCAUGUUAUGAAAAUUCGUGUCAGAUCCGGGCAAGGUUCUUAGUGAGCCUGAUAUAGAGAUCCUAGGAGAUCUCACCUAUGUUGAGCAGCCAGUAUGGAUCCUAGACACACAGAUCAGAAAGUUGAGGAACAAGGAGAUCCCGAUGGUGAAAGUCCUUUGGAAUCACCACAAUAUCGAGGAAUGUACUUGGGAGACACGGGAGUCUAUGCUCCAGCAAUACCCUUAUCUCUUUUAAGGUGAGAGUUGUUGUUUUAUGUGCUUCUUUGUUGCUUUAUGUAUGUUAUGCUUGUUUGGUGAAUAUUCGGGGACGAAUGUUCUUAAGGGGGGGAGAAUGUAAUACCCGGCUAGACUCCGGCAUCGGAAUUCCUACCGUCCGGUGGAAUCUCAGAUGUCGGAGCUCUCCAGAAGGGUAAUAUAUGUUUUUCUAAAAUGUUUUCAUGUGUUUUAAGGUUUUAAGUAAGAAAGAAAAUGAGUUUUUGAAAGAAAAAUACCAUGGAAGGAAAUCCAGGUUCGGCUGCCGAACAUGGUGGAGUUUAGGGAGCACCUUUGGCCUCCGAAGGUGGUCUGGCCAGCCACCUAUAAAAGGCCCCAUGUCUAGAAAUGGGCGAGUUUUCUUCUCCAUUUUCGGGCAAAGGUGAGUCCAUGCCCUUCCAUGGUUAGUUUUGAUGUUUUUCUUCAAUCCCUUCAAGUUUUAAUUAGUUUUAACUUGGUUUUGAAGAUUUUUGAGCUAAGAUCAAGUUUUGGAGCUUGGAGACCCAAGGAGCUUGAUUUCUCCCAUCUCCAAGUUUGGAUCGCCUCUUCUCUCGAUUUUCAAGAGGUAAGUGGAGAUCCUACCCUUCUUUUAUGUUUUAAAUAAGUUUUGAGGGGGUUUUAAGGGAAUGUGAUGCUUGGUUUGACUAUAUGUUUUAUGUUAGGGUUUAUGUUAGUUUUAUGGGUAAUGUAUGUUAUAUGUUUGUUAGGGUUUAGGCUAGUUUGAGACCCCUAUAUGCUUAUGAAUGUGUGUAUGCAUGUUUUGGAAGUGUUGGAUGUGAGUGUGGGAGAUUUUGGAGGCGGAUUGCAUGAGGCGGAAUCAAGUUCUGCCUUUCUGGGGAACCCAGGUUCGACCGCCGAAGGUGGUUUCGGCUGCCGAACCUGCCUGUGGAAGCAAUCUUUGGCCGCCUAAACUUGCCCCGGAAAAUGGACUUUCGGCUCUGGAAGGGACUUUCGGCUCUGGAAGGGACUUUCGACCGCCAAAGUGCCUGACUUUCGUCUCUGAAGCUGACUUUCGGCCGCCGAACCUGCCCCCGAAAGUGCCUGACUUUCGGAUCUGUGGGGGUAUUCGGCCGCCGAAGGUGCCCUGUCCAGCCUUCCUUUGCUUGUUUUGCAUGCAUGUUCUGUGAUAUUUUAGGGGGUUUUUGGGGAGUUGUUUAGAGUCAUGUUUAUGUAUGUUUGGUCCCUCAUUUCAGUCCACCUGUGUAGGUUCAGACCCGAGGAACCGAGGACCCCAGCAGUGAGAUAGCUGCUUCAGAGUCUGUUCAGAGUCAGCCUGAGGUGAGUAGAAUGGAUCUUUAUGUUGCAAAGUAAAUAAAUUUUGAGCAUGUUCAUGCAUCACGAAUGUCAUGAUAUAUACUAGGUUGUAUGCAUUAGAAUUCACGAAUAUGUUGCAUUGCAUAUUAUGAUGUUGAUGUGGAUGGAUGUUGGAUGAUCCAUUAGUCCUCGAUAUGAUAUGAGAUGGUAUGGUACGGUACGGAAGUCCAGGUCGAGGCCCAUGCUACGCCCCUGGCAUAAUAUUAAGAGAAAGUCCAGUUCGAGACCCAUUUUAUGCCCCUGGCAUAUUGGAAUGUUAUGUUAUGUUAUGUUAAGGGAAAGAUCAGUGGCCCAUUCUACGCCCCGACACUAUUGAAAUGUGUAGAGGGCUAUUGGUGACAAGUCCAUCCUUGAUGUGAUUUGUUUGUGAUGUGAUGCAUUUCAUUAAAGCAUGGAUUUUAAUAAAAUGUUUACUAUUAUGCUCACUGGGCUCUAGUAGCUCACCCAUUUCCCUUAACCCCCAGGUUUGCAGGUUCGGGAUAGACCAGGAAGUCAGCAAGAGUAAAAGUUAUUUGUAUGUAAUAGUUAGUUGUGGACAUGAAAGAUGAUGUAAUGUAAUGUAAUGUAAUGUAAGAUUUUGUACAGUUUUGUAUUGAGGAUUAGCAUUGUGCUUGACCCUAGUGUUUAUGGUUAAUCCCUUUGUUCGUGAUCAUUAUGAAAUGUUUUAAUGUUAACCAAGCUUAAUGUAUGAUAUGUUGCCCCACUAGAGCAUUUGAUGAGGGCUCUAGUGUGGGGUUUUAUGUUUAUGAUUAUGUGCAUGCACAGGUUAAGUUUGGUAAAAUGGAAAAAGUUUAUAGUUUUUAUGUUUAUGUAUGAUCAUGUAUGGGAUUUAUUAGGCAUGACAGGUUGUAUGUUAGGCUUGCGACGGGUCCCGGCGACCUUAAGUCGAUCUGGAUCCAAGCGCCGGUAGCAGUCCGUUUUCGGGUCGUUACAUGGAUGGUCCAUAAGUGCUCAGUUUAUCAAACUUAGAAGGGACAUUCGCAGAAUACAGUCUUAUACACUCCACUGCCUAUUCCAGCACAUCCUUGGGAGGACUUAUCCAUACUAUGGAUUUUGUUCUUGGUUUAUUACGUACUCAACAUGGAUCUAAUUCCAUUUUUGUUGUUGUUGACAGGUUCUCCAAAAUGGCGCAUUCCAUUCCUUGCUAAAAAACUAAUAAUGCUUCUCAUGUGGCAAAACUGUUUUUCCAGGAGAUUGUUUGCUUAUAUGGCGUCCCUAAGACUAUUACUUGUAACAGAGAUGUGAAGUUUCUAACUCAUUUUUUAGUAACUUUAUGGAAACGUUUUGAAACUGAACUUCGAUACAGCAGUGCUACCCAUCCCCAAACUGAUGGACAAACUGAAGUGGUGAACCGCACGCUUGACAAUCUUCUGCGCUGCAUCUGCAGUGACAAGAAAACUGUUUGGGAUCUUGCUCUUAUCCGAGCAGAAUUUGCUUAUAACAGCGCUGUUUAUAGCUCCACAACGAUGUUAUCAUUUGUUGUUGUGUAUAAGAAAAUUCCAGCGCAUACGUAAUAAAUUAUAAGAGGAUAUAUCAAUUUAUUAACUAAUAUAUUUUAAGUAUUUGAUAAAAUAUAUCCAAUCAAUAAGCCGAUAACUAAUAAUUUAUACUAACUGAUAUAUCUUAGAUAUUUUAAUAAAUUAUGUUUAACUGUGACCACGUAAAAUAACUAAUACAAGGAUAUAUCAAUGUAUUAUAUUAAUGAGAUAAAUAUAAAAAUAUUAAUUUAUUAUAUAAUAUAUAUAAUUAAAAAUAAAUUUGAAAUAUAAUUAUUUGUAUGCACAUGUAUAAUUUUUAUUAUAUAAUAAUAAAUAUUAUAAUUAGUUUAACUAUUAUUUUUAUUAUUUCUUUAUGUAUUGUAAUUUUAAAUAAUUUAUUGAUAUAAAAAUUUUUAUUUUAAAAAAUUAUAAUUAAUAAAUUAUAAAAAAAUAUUAUGAUCUAAAUAAAAAAUAAAAUUAAAUAGUUAAUGGCUUAUAGAAACAACUCUAAAAUGCACCUGAUAUUAUCAUAUUAGUAUUAUCAAAACGAGAUGUCUGCCCGGCUAGAUCGGUCUGCGGCAGACGUAAUCCCAAAUGGAUACCUAAUAUUUAGCCUCAGUCUAAUCCGCAGUGGGGCUGCAUAUGGACAUAGAUACGUUUUUUUAUUAAAUUUAAAUAGAAACUAAAAAAAUUAAUGAAAUCUACGAAGUUAUAAAAAUUUUAUAUUAUACCGAUUGUAAUUAACAAAUAAAAAAAAUACUAUAAUCAAUAAAUAAAUAAAAACUCUAUAUUUAUAUUUUUUAUUUCAUUUUUCUUAUUUUAAGCCGAUACUAUAAUUACUUAAUAUGCAUCAUAUAUAUUGAUAUAAAUUAAUUAAAAAAUUAAAAAAUAUAUAAUUUUAAUAAAUUUUAUAAUUUAAAAUUCUCAAAUUAAAAUAAAAACUUAACAUAUAAUUAAAUUAAAAUCUAAAUAAAAUUUAUCAAAAUUAUCUAAAUAAUCAAAUAAACUUAAUAAAAACUAUCAAAGUAAUUUUAAUUGAAUUUUGUUUAAAAAUUAAUACAUUUAUCUAUCUAUCCUUUUCUUGCUAUUCAUAUCUUGAUUUUCAUUUAUAAAAUAUUUUUUAUAUUUUAACUUUUAUUUAUAAGAUAUUUUUAGAGCAGAUAGUUUGUAGAUUCGUCCGAUCUAAUUUGCACGAGCUCAAUUCCAAAAUAAACUGAGUAAAAAAAUUUAUUUUAAAAAUAGUCUCAAAUUACUUGUUCAAAUUAAAAAAAAAAAAUAUUAGCAACCUUGAACUAUUUACAGACUCGAACCCAUUUUGACAGUACUAAUAUCAAUUAUCCUUUAACUUUUUCAAAUUUUACUAAAUAUUUUAUUAAUCUAUUUAAAUAUUUAUUAGCUAUCAUUAUAUUCAACCGUUAAACUAAAUACUUCUAAAUAGAAAAUUAUUAUUCAACAAAAAUAUUUAUACUUAUAAACAAUAUCGUUAUUAUUAUUAAUAGUAAUAAAUUAAAUUAAAUUAAUUUAUUCAAAUUUAUUAAUCAAUAUACAAUUAUUAAUAUGAAUAAAGAAAAUAAGGAAUGUUUUUUUAUGCUAUUUUUAGUUAUUUUUACACACAAAUAUAAUUAAUUAAUUUUAACUUUAAUUCUUCGAUAGCUUGAUUUGAAUUUUGAUCUGAUAUAAAAUAUGAAAAACAAAAAUUAAUAUUGUCUUAAAAUUUUUAAAAUAAUAAAUAAUUUAAAAUAAAAAAAUUAUUAUAAAAUUAUAAGCUGAGCUAAACAGCUACUAAGUGCUCGGAAACCAUGCACUCUUCCCAUUCUCCCACACCUCCAAAAUCUAAAUGCGAAACACAGGAUCUAAAAUACUCAUUUUUAGGAUUUUUUAUGUUAAUUUUAAUUAAUAAUAAAACCUUUUAUGCUAAGUUAAUAUUUAAAUAUAAAUAUGAGAAAAACCAUAGAACUACAAGAGAAAGAUGAAUAUAAAAUUAAAUACAAUAUUUGAGAUAUUUAAUUUCAGAGAAAAUAAUAGAUUUUUUAAAUUUAACAAUUUAUAUAUAUAUAGAGUUGUCUUGAAUUAAUUUUUGAAGCUAAACUAAUUUAAACACUUUAAAUAAUAAAAUAAAUUAUACUUUAACUUUUUAAAUUUUAAUGUAAUUAAUGAAUUAAUUUUUAUAAUUUUAAAAUUAAAUAUUUAAAUUUUUAAUAUCAUUUCAUUUAUAAUUUUAUUAGUCAAUAUUUCUAAAGAAAAUAAAUAUUUUAAAUAUCUAAAAUACUCUCAUAAACACUCAAAUGCAUGUCAAUGUGAGUGAAACAUUUUAUAUUACGUAAACUAUACUUUAAUUUUUAAAUUUUAGCGUAAUUAAUAAAUUAAUUCUUGUAUUUUUAAAAUUAAAUCCUUAAAACUCUAUAUAUUUAAUCUAUAAAAAAUUACAGUUUUAUCAAAUUAAAGUUAGUGGAUAGUUAAACUUAUAAAAGUAUAAUUAAAUAUUUUUUUGUAAAUAUCUAUAUCUAUUUAAAAGUUAUUUAAUAUCACUUUAAAAUUGCUGAAUUUAUAAGUAUUUUCUGAAAAUUUUAAAACUAUCGAUUAUUGAAAUAUUUUAAUUAAUGAAAAUUGAAGAAUAAAAACUAUUGAAACAGUUGAAUAUGAUAAUUUGAAUAAAAAUUAAAAGAGAAUUUGAGUUUUUUUUUUAUGAAAAAUAAAAAAUUAAAAUGUUUAAAUUUUUUUGGAUGGGAAAAUGAAUGAAAUCUUUUAACUCCUUAAUAUUUUAAUUUAAAAAAGGAUAAUAAAAUUAUUUUUAUAUUUUUAAUUAUAAAAAAUAAAUAAAAAGAUUGAAAUUUAAAUGGAUUUAUUAGGAAAAGAUUUAAAUAUUUAAUUUUAAAAAUAUAUAGAGUUGUUCCUUAAUUAUAUUAAAAUUUAAUGACUAAUGUAUAGUUUAUUAAUUUAAAAAAAAAUAAAGAUGUUCAAUUUAAAUGAUUCGAGAAAUUUAAGUGUUUAAUUUUAAAAAUAUAAAAAUUAAUCAAUUAAUUAUAUUAAAAUUUAAUGAUUAAAUGUAAUUUAUCUUAAAUAAUAAUUUAUUUAUGUUGCAUGAAUACAAAUUGACUUUUGUGCACAGGCCUUAUAUAUUAUGAAUAGGGCUUAUCGCAUGGCAACACGUUUUUGGAUACCUCAUUAAAGAAAAUGUGGUAGUUAACCUUCUCCUCUCUAGAUCGUCAACCUUUAAUUUUUAUUUUAUUUUAUUUUAUUAUAUUUUUAUUAUUAAUAAAAAAUACAACUACAUACUAUAAAUGAAAAAAAAAACAUAUAAAGUUAUAAAAUUUUAUUUAUAAUCCACCUUUCAAGAUCUCAAAAUAAAAUUCUCAAAGUACAUAAAUUUAAAAUAAUUAAUUUAUGAUUAAGAUUUGUAUGAAAAUUUUUAAUUGUGUUAUAGCAAAUUAUAAGUCAUCCAUUUCGAUAUGGAUUUUUUAGAUUGGUCAUGUUAAUCUUAAUGAAUUAAUUUGUAAAUCUCUUUCGUUUUUUAUAGACGGUAUCAUUUUCAUGAAUAUUUUACUUUUAUUUUAUUAAAAAAAGUCUCAUAACACAUAAUCUUAAAAUGGAAACUCACAAAAUAGAAGAAAGGGAUCGAAAGGUCUACUGGUACCCCCAAUGAAAAUUCUAAAACACUCAAGUUAGAUCUUAAAAAUUUAAGUGUGAAAGCUUCUUUUAUAAAAAACUGUAAAGGAAAAGGGGAGGAAGAGGAAGAAGAAGAGAAGAGCGGGAGCAAUCAUGAGCUAUAAAAAGGUGUUUUUUUUUUAUAUUUUAUCUUGUGCAAAAGAGUUGUGAGAAUAUGUCUUUCAUAUUCUUUAGAUGGUCUAUUUUUUAAAAUUUAAAUGAUUUUAUAAUUUUUAAAUGUUACCAAAAAGUAACAUAAACCUAUAUCUACAAAUAUUUUUCAAUCCAAUUAGAACUAAUAAAUCUCUCACUGGAAAUUACUUUUAAUAAAUAUAUUAUUUAGUUAAUCUCAUUUUCUUUUAGAAAAUUUGUGUAUUUACUAUAAUUAUAUUACAUAAUGCAAUUACUAUAAUUAUAUUACAUAAUGCAAAUGAUGUUUUUAAUUACACGAUAAACCCUUUUUCUAUUUUAGAUCGAAAUCUCUUUCUUUUCUUCUAUGAAACUAUAUUAUACUGGACAAAAGCCAUUUAACCAUAACACAUAAAAACUCUUUUUCUUAUGUAAAAGUCACCCUCUACAAUAGAUUGUUAAACUCUUCAAUUAAGAAAAGACAAAAUAAUCUCCCAAUCAUAUUUUAUUUAUAGUAUUAAACUCUUCUAUUUUAAUUUAUUUAAGAAUUUUAAAGUAUAAAAAUAACAUAUAAAUAAAACAUCUACUCUAUCUAUGUCUCGGAAGAAUAUGUUUUCCAAUUUAAUUAAAAUAUACAAAUUAAUUUUAAUAUUUUCCGUUUGAAAUUUUAAAUAGGCUUUGUCUCCUCUCAAAAAUUCUCUCUUUCUCUUCUUUUUUUUUUUUCUUCUCAUCCACCUCUCUUCCCGUAGCCACCUCCGAAUUUAUCACAGGGGCAUCCCCUAUUUUUCUUGCUCAAACCAUCUCUUUUUAUUUCAAAAUUUAUUUCGUUGUUUUUUUUUUUUUUUGUUUCUUCAAGUAAAAUUCAAGUUUUAUUAAAACUAGAGAUACCUCUUCUUCUUAACAAGAUUAGCCUCUUCUUCCCCAUCCGAAGAAUGGUUAGAUAGGAGCACAUGCAUAGUAGGGGCCCUAGAGGAAUUACAAGGAUUGUUUUGGACAUUGUCGCCCUCAACUACCCCAUGGCAUCCUCCAUGAUAACAAGGCCCACACACCCUCCUCAGCAACCAUUUUGAGAGGUGGUCCUACAAUCGUCAAAGGUAGCAUGUCUUCUUUCCUUUGAGGAUGAGGCCUUAAAGCAUCAUGAACGACCUCUAUAUUCUUCUGGAGAGUAAACUGCUCAACCGCCAUCUUGAUGAAAUCCCGAGACAAGGUGAAAUUUCGAGGCAUAAAAGUCUAUCCCAUAGGAACAGUGGAAAGCUGCAAAACACAAAAAUAAGUUUUAAUCAAGAAAGUGAGAACUGAAAACAUAAAAAUAAUAAAAAUAAUAAGUACCAGCAGCACAAUAAUCACUCCCAGGAGGAAACUCAAGGUAUUUAAAGACGUCAUAUUUGAAAGGAGAGAGGCUAGUCAGGCAAAGUACAGUUGCUCUCACUCAGACAGGUGGGAAAAAGCAUUGCAAGAAGGAUCAAUGUUCCCCCAAGCAGUAUCGAAACCCUACUUCUGCUCUCCCCUUAGAUGGACAACGACAAAACUUUCUAUCCAGUGAUGGACGGAGUCUUUAUGACCAACAAAAAAAAGACAGAUUGAAGUUCCAUAACCCAUCAUUUGAUUUGGUGAUCCUAAAGAAAGACCUAAAAAGUCUAAUAGAUAGCUUGAAGCCCCAGUCCCAACACACUGCCUCAAAAGCUCUCAUGAACAGGAUAGAGUUGGGAGUUAACACUCUAGAGAAAACCCCAUAAAACCUAAAACCUCUAUGAAAAAAAAUGGAAAAGGGGAAAAGAUAACCCAUACUCAAAUUUUUUGAGAAAGAAAACUAACUUUUUCUCAUUUUAGGCAUCUUCAAGGUCAACGGGUGGGGGAAAAGAAAAAAGCACAAUCCUCUCAGAAGAGCGAGUGGCUUUAAUAUAAUAAAAGGAAGAGAGAAAUAGAUGGAAGAAAUCGUGUGUUGUAUUGUAUUGCAAUUGUCUUUAAAUAGACUCUGUACAAAGAUAAAUACAGUUACAAUAGAUAAGUUUACAAAUAUACAAAUAUGAUAUUUAAACCAAAUCUGUUAGGAUAUUGGUUUAUCAAGAUAAGUUUACAAAUAUACAAAUAUGAGAUUUAAGCCAAAUCUGUUAGGAUAUUGGUUUAUCACUCCCCCGCAAGAUUGAAGUACCAUCAAGGACACCAAUCUUAGAUAUCUGAUGAGUAAAACUGGUUUUGAUCAAUGGCUUUGUCAAAAAUAAGCCAAUUGAUCCUUAGAGGACACAUGAGCAACUCAUAUUUCUCCUUUGUGAACCAAGUCUCGUACAAAAUGAACAUCAAUUUUGAUAUGCUUCAUUUUCAUAUGAAAUACUGGGUUUUGACUAGUGUAAGUAGUAGAAAUGUUGUCACAAUAAAUAGGCAGUAAAUUGUCUUGCAACUGAACUCCAAGUUCAAAUAAUAGAGACUUGACCCACAUUACCUCAGAAGUUGUUGUUGCUACCGCACGAUAUUCAGCCUCUGUAAAUGACCAAGCAACUGAUUUUUGCUUUAUGGAAGACCAAGAAACUGGACUAUUGCCAAGAUACAAGAUAUACCCCGUAGUCGAUGUUCUAUCCAUAGGAUCCCCAGCCCAAUCAGCAUCUGAAAAAGCAUAAAACUUAAAAGAAGAUUGUGGCUUAAUAAGAAUGCUAUAAUAAAGAGUGGACUUGAGAUAACGAAGGAAUCGUUUCAAGGCUUCCCAAUGCGACUUUAUGGGGCUUUGCAUAAAUUGAGAAAGCUUGUUUACUGAGAAACAAAUAUCAGGUCUCGUCCAAAUCAAAUACUGGAGUGCACCUACUGCAUUUCUAUAUUCAAUUGCAUUAACAAUUUCUUCCAUUUCUGUCCUCUUCAAGAGUAUCACAGAAGCUGCAAAGGGUGUGGUAAUCGGCUUAGCUCCUUUCAUGCUAUGAGUAGCAAGUAAUUUCUGCACAUAAUGGUGUUGAGAUAAGAACACUCCCUUUGAAGUUUGUUGCAUAUCAAUACCAAGAAACAAAUUCAAAGUAUGCGGAUUCUUUAAUGAAAAACGGAUAGCAAGCUUGUUAAUGAAUGUUUGCAUGAAGGCCUUGCAACUUCCUGUAAUAAGAAGGUCAUCAAUAUAUACAAGAAAAUAACAUAAUAUAUUAUCGUUAUUAUAGACAAAUAAAGAGUGAUCACUAGUAGAUUGCACAAAACCAAGACCAAGAACACAACUUCUCAAUUCUUGAUACCAAGCUCUCGGUGCUUGCCAAAGUUCAUACAAUGCUUUGACCAACUUACAAACAUAUCCCGAUUUAGUUUUGUCAACAAACCCAGGAGGCUGCUUCAUGAAUACUUGUUCGUGUAAUGGACCAUGCAAAAAGCAUUAUUAACAUCCAUCUAAAAUAUAGGCCAUUUGUAAGUCACUACCAAAGUUAAAACUAUUUGAAGAGUUACUGGUUUUAAAACAUGACUAAAAGUAUCCCCAAAAUCUAUUCUGGGUUUUUGACUGUAUACUUUUGCAAUAAGAUGGGCUUUGUAUCUGUCAAUACUACCAUCAAUAUUUCUUUUAACUCGAAAAAUAUAUUUACAACCAACCAAGUUAUAUUUAGGAUCAGGUGGUACCAAUACCCAUGUUCCAUUUCUUACCAAAGCAUUAAACUCGUCAGACAUGGCAGCAUGCCAUUGGGGAUCAAGAGAGCCUGCGAAACACAUGUUGGUUCAGAAAUUUUUGGAAUUGGAUGCUUAGUUACUAGAUUAAGAUUUUUCGGCUUAAAUAUGUUAUUUUGGGACCUGGUAACCAUCAGAUGGGUUCAAAUAAGGGGCUGGACAAGAGUAGCAAUAUUGACAUUAGUGUCCGAAGUAUCAUCAUUGGACGAAGUAUCAUCAUUGGACGAAGUAUCAUCAUUGGACGAAGUAUCAUCAUUGGACGAAGUAGACUGAACAGUAUGUGGAGGAGAACUUACAGUAUUCAUAGGCAAGAAGACUGACCAGGAAUGUCUAACAGCAAUGAGGACUGACUAGAGGAUGAUGAACUCAAUGAAGAUGGACUGGACAAGCUGAAAGUGAAACCUGAACAAGCUGAAGACGUUGAAACAAGUUCUGCUACAGUAGAAAAAGGUAUGACAACAGCUGCAUCAGAAUUUUUCUGCAAUUGAAACAAGAUAGCAGUACUAGAUUUUGACGACACAGACUGGUCAAAAAUAAAAUCAUACCUACCGGAAUUAUUUAACGCAGACAAAUCAAGUAAACACCCAGGAAAUUGAUCCUCAAUAAAGAUGACAUGUCGAGAAACAAACAUCUUGUUAUUUUUAUAAUCGAAGCAAAGAUAGGCACUUUGAUUCAGGGAAUAACCAAGAAACAAGCACGGAAGUGAUUUAAGAGAGAAUUUAUGUUUUGCAUAAGGGCGAAUGCAUGGAUAACAAAGACAACUAAAGAUUUGUAAACCAGAAUAAUUGGGAACUUUACCAAAUAAUUUAAGAAAUGAAGAAGAAUAAUCUAGAGUAGGUGUUGGUAACCUGUUGAUCAAAUAUACAGCCGUAUAAAAUGCAUAAAUCCAAAAUUCAGAAGGUAAAGAAGCAUUGUGAAGAAGAGUUAACCCGGUUUCAACCACACAACGAUGUCUACGUUUAGCAGCUCUAUUAUGCUGUGGAGUAUGAGGGGGCGUUUGAAGAUGAUUAAUGCUAUGAGCUUGAAAAAGAGAUUUUAAAGCAAUAAAUUCCCCUCCCCCAUAUGUUUAUAUAGACACAAUUUUUGUUUGAAAGAUAUUUUCAACCAAUUUCUGAAAAACUGAAAAAAUAAUAGCAACAUUAGAUUUAGCUCGAAGAUGAUAAAACCAGAUAUAUUAAGUAUAAUGAUCAACAAAAAUUAAAUAAUAUUUAUAACCAUCUCUAGAUUGAACUGGAGCAGAACCCCAUAGAUUAGAAUACAAUAAUUCUAAAGGACGAGAAAUUGAUAAUGAUGAAACACCAAAAGAGAGUCGAUAACUCUUAUUAUAAUGACAAGAAUCACAAAUUUUUUGAUUAACUUUAGAAACUGGUAAAGAAAAAUGAGACACGACAUAAUUGAAAAUUUUUGUAGCUGGAUGACUUAGUCGUUAAUGUCAUGAAGAACUAGAUGCACAAACACUGUAACAAGCAGAAGGAUGAAAGGAAAAUAUGGAUGAUGACAGACGAUAUAAUGACUCCUCAAUUUUGCCCCUUUGAAGAAUCUCCUCCAUGAACAGAUCCUUAACAACAAAAGAAUCAAAGAAAAAUUCAAUCGAAACAUUAUUUAUAAGACAAAAUUGAGAAACGAAAAUAAGAUUCUCAUUAGCUUGUGGAACACAUAAAAUAUUUUUUAAUGAGCAGGAUUUAGAUGGAAAAGACAAAAUUUUUUAUCCAACAUGUGUUAUGUGCAAACCUGAUCCGUCAGUGAGGCGCAACUCAUCUAAGCCAUCAUAUGGUUUGUGCAAUGACAGAUUCUGAAGGUCGUUAGUGACAUGAUGUGAACCACCUGUAUCAAGAACCCAACUGGUCUCACUUGAACUACUAGUAUUAACAAAAUGACCUUGAAGUCUAUGAAAAUUAUUUUUGAAAAAGUCCUUAGCCAGGAAGCAUUGACGAGUACUGUGUCCUAGCUUUUCACAAAUUUGACACUGAAUCUUGUUAGAAGAAUUUCGAGUAGUAGAAGAAUUUAAGAUAUUACCAGUUCUGGUCCCAUAAGCAACCGAACUACCUUGACCAUUAGAUCAAAAAUUCUACUUGGGAUAGGAACUUUUUCGAACACUAUGAGUAGUUAAUGGAACAGGAUCAUAAGAGGAAUCUGUACUCUUAAGAUAUAUUUCAUGAGCCAAAAGUUUAUCCUCAAGUUUUUCAAAACUUAUCACAGUAUCACGAGCUCGGAUUGUUGCGGCUGUGUCAUGAAAUUCUAAUUUGAUACCAUUCAAAACAUAGACAAUCAAAUCCACAUCAGAAUCUGGAUUACCUAAAAGAGCUAAGUCUUUUGCAAUAUUUUUUAUUUGUUGCAAGUAAUCAGAAAUCGAUUUGUUAUCACGUUUAGCAGUUAAUAACUUUUUACGAAGAGAUAAAACUCUUGUUGCUGACUUAUUGGCGAAAGCAACUCGAAGUUUUUCCCAUGCAUCAGCUGAAAUUUUCGCUGAAGAGAGAACAUGCAUAGCUGAAAAACUUGUUGAAGCUAUGAUCGCUACUAGAAUCAGCUGAUCUUGAUAAACCCAAAACUCAUAAUCGGGAUUUGCUAUUUCUUUUGUUGUGUCUUCCUCACCAACUUGAGUAAAAGCAGGUGGAAGUGGCAAAGAUUUAUCUACAUAACCCAUCAAAUUAUGACCACGAAGAACAAGGAGGAAAUUGUGCUCGCCAUGUAGGAUAAUUUUGGGCAUACAGUUUCAAUGGAAAUUGAUUAGAAUUGAAAGAAAUCAAGUUUUUGCCAUUAGAAUGAGGCAGACUUGUAGGACUUGAUGAAGACAUGGUGAACAAUAGAAAAAUAAGAAAUAAAUUAAAGAAACGGAGGUGAUUUAGGAUCGAAAAAAAAGCAAAUAUGCUUUUUACGGCUCUGAUACUAUAAAAGGAAGAGAGAAAUAGAUGGAAGAAAUCAUAUAUUGUAUUGUAUUGCAAUUGUCUUUAAAUAGACUCUGUAUAAAGAUAAAUACAGUUACAAGAGAUAAAUUUACAAAUAUACAAAUAUGAUAUUUAAACCAAAUCUAUUAGGAUAUUAGUUUAUCACUCCCCCGCAAGAUUGAGGUAUCAUCAAGGACAUCAAUUGGAUGGAGAUGUACAACUAGGUAGGUCAAUUUUAGCUAAUUUAACUCUAUCAAUACUAUGACUUCGAUUUAAACCAAAUUAAUUUAGCUUAAUAUGUAGUUAAGAAUUUUAAUUUAAAAUUAAUUUAGCUUAAAAAUGACAAUUUUUAGCUUAAUUUAAAUAAAUAACAUUUCUAAUAAGUGCAAGGAAAAAAUAAGUAUUUAAGCAAAGAUUGUAUAAGGGAAAAAAAAAAGUGAAAGAGGACCACGCUAUUAGGAGUGAGUAUUCGGUUGAUUCGGUUUAAAACCGACCCAAAUCGAAUAAACCGAAAACUGAAAUUUUAGUGUUUAUGAAAAUCGAACUGAUUUUGGUUAGAAAUUGAAUCGAACUGAACCAGUCUGAUUCGGUUCGAUUCAGUUCGGUUCAGUUCGGUUUAAUCGGUUUCGAUUUUUAAUAAUUUUUUUAUUUUUUACACUUUAUUUUUAGUAUUUUAAAAUUUAAUUAAAAUAUUUUAAUCUUAAUAUGAUUUAAUUUCUCUAUAUUAUUAAAAAAGCAUAUUAUUAUCACUAAUCGGUUCGAUUCAGUUUUUUGAUUUUUUUCUAAUUAAAAUCGAACAGAACCAAAAUAACAGAAAUUUCUGAAAUUAAAAACUGAAUCGAAUCGAAAUAUAUAAAAAAUCAAAUUAAAUUUUCAAAUUAAUUCGAUUCGAUCAAUUUUUUCGGUUUGAAUCGAAUACUGCUCACACCUACACGCCAUGACUGCUGUAUAGGGGAAAAAAAAGAGAGAGAAGAUAAAAAGGAAAAAUCUUGGGCACUUCUUGAUCUAUUAAUUUUGACUUGGUGCUUGCAUUGAUGAUCUAUGCUUGAGCACUUAGGUCAGCUGAUACGCAAGGAAACCUCACCUAAUACGUCAUCAACUCCAUAGCCCAGCUAAGAGUCUUCAAUAUUCCAGCUUUAUAUAUUGAUGGGCAAGUACCCCCUCCUACACCCAUCACCAGAAGCUAGCAUUCAAGCUUUUCUGAUUCCAAUUCAUCUACGCAUAAUCUCUUUUCUAUUGAAGUUUCCCUCUCAUUCUCAAGGAAACAUGGUAGCCAAGUUGCCAGAACAAGAGCAUCCCCAACAGGCAUUUGGAUGGGCUGCAAGAGACGACUCUGGUGUCCUCUCUCCCUUCACCUUCUCCAGGAGGUUCCUUUUCUUCUACCUUUCCAUGAAUCUGUCUUGCUUCUCUUUCUACAUCAACAAAUCUUCUUUUACUUGAAUCUCUUCGAUAAUCCAUUUUUCUAAUUAUCAAUAUAUAACAUGUUUGUGCAGGGCAACUGGGGAGAAAGACGUUUGUUUCAAGGUCCUCUACUGUGGAAUGUGUCACUCAGACCUUCAUAUGGUCAAGAAUGAAUGGGGCACUUCCACCUAUCCUCUUGUCCCUGGGUACGUAUUCUCAUCAUCUUAUAGUUAUUACGAACAUUCUUUUUUUUUUUUCCAAUUGUAAAGUUAGACGGUUGGAACUUUGAGUCCAAGUCAAUUAACAUAACGGUUUCUGCUGAAUUUGCAAUGCAGGCAUGAGAUUGUGGGAGUGGUGACAGAGGUUGGAAGCAAAGUGGAAAAAUUCAAGGUGGGAGAUAAGGUUGGUGUGGGCUGCAUUGUGGGGUCAUGCCAUUCCUGUCAUAACUGCGCAAAAAAUCUUGAUAAUUACUGCCCAGAACUGAUACUCACCUAUGGUGCAAAGUACUAUGAUGGAACCACCACUUUCGGCGGCUACUCUGACAUUAUGGUUGCCGAUGAGCACUUCAUCGUUCGUAUUCCAGACACCUUGCCUCUUGAUGCUACUGCUCCUCUUCUUUGUGCUGGGAUCACAGUGUACAGCCCCUUAAAAUAUUAUGGACUGGACAAGCCUGGCAUGCACGUAGGCGUAGUUGGCCUGGGCGGCCUUGGCCAUAUGGCUGUGAAAUUUGCCAAGG
rnacentral:lncRNA from 1 species